rfam:Triticum aestivum genome assembly, contig: Triticum_aestivum_CS42_TGACv1_scaffold_321505_4BL
UUGCUACUACCUUCGUUCAGAAUUACUUGUCGCAGAAAUGGAUGUAUCUAGACGUAUUUUAGUUCUAGAUACAUCCAUUUCAGAGACAAGUAAUUCCGAACGGAGGGAGUACAAU